AGAGUUUGAUCCUGGCUCAGGAUGAACGCUGGCGGCGUGCUUAACACAUGCAAGUCGAACGGGGUUUACGAGAAGCUUGCUUUUUGUAAACCUAGUGGCGGACGGGUGAGUAACGCGUGAGUAACCUGCCUUAGACUGGGGGAUAACACUUAGAAAUAGGUGCUAAUACCGCAUAAGCGCACAGUAUCGCAUGAUACAGUGUGAAAAACUCCGGUGGUCUAAGAUGGACUCGCGUCUGAUUAGCUGGUUGGUGAGGUAACGGCCCACCAAGGCGACGAUCAGUAGCCGGCCUGAGAGGGUGAACGGCCACAUUGGGACUGAGACACGGCCCAAACUCCUACGGGAGGCAGCAGUGGGGGAUAUUGCACAAUGGGCGAAAGCCUGAUGCAGCGACGCCGCGUGAGUGAAGAAGUAUUUCGGUAUGUAAAGCUCUAUCAGCAGGGAAGAAAAUGACGGUACCUGACUAAGAAGCCCCGGCUAACUACGUGCCAGCAGCCGCGGUAAUACGUAGGGGGCAAGCGUUAUCCGGAUUUACUGGGUGUAAAGGGAGCGUAGACGGCGAGGCAAGUCAGAUGUGAAAGGUGUGGGCUCAACUCACAAACUGCAUUUGAAACUGUUUUGCUAGAGUGCAGGAGAGGUAAGUGGAAUUCCUAGUGUAGCGGUGAAAUGCUUAGAUAUUAGGAGGAACACCAGCGGCGAAGGCGGCUUACUGGACUGUAACUGACGUUGAGGCUCGAAAGCGUGGGUAGCAAACAGGAUUAGAUACCCUGGUAGUCCACGCUGUAAACGAUGGAUGCCCGCUGUUGGCGAUAUACAGUCAGCGGCCAAGAGAAAUCGUUAAGCAUCCCACCUGGGGAGUACGCCGGCAACGGUGAAACUCAAAGGAAUUGACGGGGGCCCGCACAAGCGGAGGAACAUGUGGUUUAAUUCGAUGAUACGCGAGGAACCUUACCCGGGCUUGAACUGCAGGAGAAGGAUACAGAGAUGUUGACGCCCUUCGGGGCUCCUGUGGAGGUGCUGCAUGGUUGUCGUCAGCUCGUGCCGUGAGGUGUCGGCUUAAGUGCCAUAACGAGCGCAACCCUUUUCAUUAGUUGCCAUCAGGUAAUGCUGGGCACUCUGGUGAUACUGCCACCGUAAGGUGUGAGGAAGGUGGGGAUGACGUCAAAUCAGCACGGCCCUUACGUCCGGGGCUACACACGUGUUACAAUGGGGCAUACAGAAGGCCGGUUGCACGCAAGUGCGAUCCAAUCUAUAAAGUGUCCCUCAGUUCGGAUUGGGGUCUGCAACCCGACCCCAUGAAGCUGGAUUCGCUAGUAAUCGCGCAUCAGCCAUGGCGCGGUGAAUACGUUCCCGGGCCUUGUACACACCGCCCGUCAAGCCAUGAAAGCCGGGGGCGCUUGAAGUCCGUGACCGUAAGGAUCGGCCUAGAGCGAAACUGGUAAUUGGGGCUAAGUCGUAACAAGGUAGCCGUACCGGAAGGUGCGGCUGGAACACCUCCUU
rnacentral:rRNA from 1 species